rnacentral:rRNA from 1 species
UACGGAGGGUCCAAGCGUUAUCCGGAAUCAUUGGGUUUAAAGGGUCCGUAGGCGGUUUUGUAAGUCAGUGGUGAAAGCCCAUCGCUCAACGGUGGAACGGCCAUUGAUACUGCAAGACUUGAAUUAUUGGGAAGUAACUAGAAUAUGUAGUGUAGCGGUGAAAUGCUUAGAUAUUACAUGGAAUACCAAUUGCGAAGGCAGGUUACUACCAAUACAAUUGACGCUGAUGGACGAAAA